CGGAGGUCAGACAAUCCCUUCCAUUUGGCGCGGCUAGCCUAUUGGUUCCACGCGUGCGCGCGCCCCGUGACCACGCCCUGUUGCUGGUGAAGUAACAGCUGCUUUCAAGGUCAAGUCUGGAAUGUUCCAAGGCACUGGACAUGAGACAUUCAAGAGCCUGGAGAAGAGACAAACGUUGUCUGUGCAAGGCCAGAGACAAGUAAAGGAGCCAUGGCUACAGUUUGUGGACCAGUAGUCUCUGGACCCCCAGUCUUCAGACUCUUAGGCCAGGGCUUGAGUCUCAGAUUUUGUUGUUUGGCACAGUGAGUGAGCUGGGCAUCGAUAUGGAGUCAGGUAGAAUAGAAAACAGGACUUACACUGAUACAUUACCUUGGUAAAGCUGUUGUGAGUGAAUACAAGGUUGGAUGAAUCAAGAACCCUUGGCAACAAUUGAUGCUCAAGAAGGAGGUGACUGUCCGAGAAGUAAUGAUGCCACAUCAAGUUGGCUCAAUAAAGAUGCGCUUUGUGCAUUUGCUUGCUUCAGAACAACAAGUAAUCAGGCUCCUUCCACCCCACUCAAAUGUUUGCAGAGGGGUGUUUGAUCAGUUCAAAUGUUAAUUUAGAAAUCACAUAUAUGGCCACUGUAACUGGAACACUUUCAGUGUUCUUUCUGGAAUGCUGUGGUAUGAGUUUGCUGAUAAAUGCCAGUGUUUGCAUCCAUUAUAAGGCUGGUGAGGACCAGUAGUUUCCUAGGCACAGUUUGAGAUAAACUAAAAAAUAAAAAGAACCAUUGCCCUGUGCCUAGAAAAUGUCAUCAAGACAUCAAGGUCCAAACUAUUUCCGUGUCUUCUCCCCACCCAGUGCCCAGCAACAGGUAGAAAGCCAUGGAGAGGCUAGCUCUGCACUGUUUCCGUGUUCUCUGUGAUAGUCUUCCCACAGUGUUUCUGCCACCACUGCAGAGACCUGGUGACUCUGGGCAGCCACAGGGAACUUGCUUGCUCAUGAGCAGAGUAGAAACUGGGCCUUCUGUAGCUUUCAGGACUUAGCCAUGCAUACUUGGAGCCCUAACACUGCAUGCUCUAUGAGCACUUCUCUUCUUCCGGUCACACACACAACCAUCUGGUCUUUGUCCCCUUGCUCCCUCCGUGUCCCUAACUAGAGUCACAGGGCUUCAGAUCCUUGUGCACACUACUUUCCUGUUUUGUUCAGGUCUAGUUCUAAGGUAACUUUUCCAUUCCCUCCAAGUUUCAAACCCCAUCUUGUUUGUAACUUCC
rnacentral:lncRNA from 1 species